GACGAACGCUGGCGGCGUGCUUAACACAUGCAAGUCGAACGGAAAGGCCCUGCUUUUGUGGGGUGCUCGAGUGGCGAACGGGUGAGUAACACGUGAGUAACCUGCCCUUGAAUUUGGGAUAACUUCAGGAAACUGGGGCUAAUACCGGAUAGGAGCUCCUGCUGCAUGGUGGUGGAUGGAAAGUUUCGGCGGUUGGGGAUGGACUCGCGGCUUAUCAGCUGGUUGGUGGGGUAGUGGCUUACCAAGGCUUUGAAGGGUAGCCGGCCUGAGAGGGUGACCGGCCUCCAUGGGCCUGAGAUACGGCGCAGACUCCUACGGUAGGCAGCAGUGGGGAAUAUUGCACAAUGGGCGGAAGCCUGAUGCAGCAACGCCGCGUGCGGGAUGACGGCCUUCGGGUUGUAAACCGCUUUCGCCUGUGACGAAGCGUGAGUGACGGUAAUGGGUAAAGAAGCACCGGCUAACUACGUG
rnacentral:rRNA from 1 species